rnacentral:lncRNA from 1 species
GUCCAUGAAACCACUUUUGAGUCAGUUGUCCAAUUACUUUUUGUCUCUUGACAAAAAGGGGCCUACAUAUUAAAGAGCUGUAAACGCUCCUAAACCCUUCUUCCAAUCUGGAUACCCUCAAAUUAAAGCUGAGAGACUGCACUUUAAGGCCAUAUUAAUUAUUUAACUGUAAUUUGAAUAUAUUUUAGUAAACUUGUGUCAGUGUCCAAUUAUUGCUGGAACUAACUGUAGAUGACAAAUAGGAGGGUGAUCCCCUUGACAUUGAUGUCCUUAAAUAAAGUUAUGGUUGAGUCUGAAGUUCUUUUUUUCAAUUUUUACAUGUGGAUGGGACAAUUGAAAUACGGACAAUUAAGCAUACUCAAUGAUAGCACUAUCAAAAUGAAUAUAAAAAACUGACAACUUAAUAUAAAGUAGCUAUAAUAUCAAAACAACAUACUUUGAUUCUCAGUUUAAAAUUUCCACCCCAAUGUCAAAGAUGAAGAGGUUGAAGUUAGAGAGCAAAUUGACAAAGUUAACAGUAAAGAUGAAGCCAAGACUCGCACUGUCAAAAGAUAUGUUGAUACAUAAAUUCAGUGGCCAAUUUUACAUUUAGUGUUGAAGAGCAUCUGGUAGAUUUCAAUAAUGCAUGCCUUAAUAACUGAAAAUGUCUCAUUUGUUUCUAUUAUAUAGUUUUCAGAGAAAGUAAACAGAGGAAAACAAGAGAAGUGGUAGUUGAAGAGGUUGAAGUGGACCUUAAAGAAGCUGUGGUUCUGAAAGAAAUACAUAAAGAAGAAAAGGAAAAGCCCAGAAAAAUCAAGGAACAAGUCAAACCAGAAUAUGCUAAAAAAGAAGCUGUGGUUCUGAAAGAAAUUCCUAAAGAAGAAAAGGAAGAAGCUGUGGUUCUGAAAGAAAUACCUAAAGAAGAAAAGGAAGGUGGGGAUAACUUUUCCUAUAUGUGUAAAUACAUGUCAGACUUACUGCAAGUGUAUUUACAUAUGCAGUGUACAGUUUGCUGCCUAAAACAGUGUACUAAUUUUGCUCAGUAUAGGUUUGAUAUAUUUUCAUUUGAGUACCUUUGCUGAAGAUGUUAUUAUUCAUGUUUGAUUAGAGCCCAGAAAAAGCAAGGAACAAGUCAAACCAGAAUAUGCCAAAAAAGGUACAGAUAGGAAUUUGUAAUCACAAAUAAAGCUACAGAUGUAACUUCAGUCAAUAAUGAAUUUGUAUCUGAUCCAUUGAAUGUUUCAGAAGCUGUUCUUCAGAAAGAAAAACCUAAAGAAGAAAAGGAAAGUGGGUAUAACUUUUUUUAGAUUUUUAUUUUUUUUCUGAAGGUAUAUUUAAUUCACAGAGUUUAGUGACAAUAAACAAUGUAAUAUUUUACAACAGUUUAGGUUUGAUUGAAAUGCAGUCCAAACAUUUUGCACUAUGUAGUAGUAUUGUUCUUGUUUGAUUAGAGCCCCGGGACACCAAGGAACGAGUCAAACCAGAACAUGCCAAAAAAGGUACGCACAGGAAUUUGUAUGUUGUAACAUAAAAAUAAAUGUUCAGAGUAUUUUGUGUAAUCCCAUUAUUGUUUUUAGAAGUGGGUGUUCCUAGAGAGAAACCUAGAACAGCAGAGAAAAGUGUGGAAAUUAUUUUGUUUGUGUUGACAUUAGGAACAGUGUCAGUAUGUUUAUGUUUCUUGGAAGUUUUCUACCUCAAAUUAUGAUUUAUUUCAUUUAGUGUGGGU